GCGUUCAUCAUAUGACAUACACAUGCAAUUCAAUCAAUUAUCAAGAUUAAGUCAAUACCAUUCAUGAUUCCCUGUAAACAGUGCACACAACAAUAAAACUUUGAAGCUCAAUAUCUCACAUAAUCAGGCUUUCUCACUUCUCACAUGAAUCCUGCUUAGCAUCAAAAUCACAAUCAUGAAUCACUUACGCAUCUGUUUACAUAACUAGUGAACCAUCAACCUGGAUAUCAACAUUCACACAUCCCUAA
rnacentral:lncRNA from 1 species